AGUGGUAAAUCACACUUACCAUUGAUUCAAAGACUCUUUAUUUUCUCACUCUUUCUCCCUCUUUCUUCCAGCGUCGGUAGCUGCAACUGAAGGAAGUGAAGUGACUGUUUGCUAAAUAUCUUGUUUGUCUUCUCUUUUUAUUCUAUGAGACUCAACAUCCAGGACUUGUUGACAACAGAGACGAUGCGUUUACCCCUGAGCAGAUGAGAAGGAUGGACGACUCCAGGAGAGCGCUGGUCGCCUUUCUUUCACUCCGCUAAGGCGGGACUCCUCCUGUUUGUGUUGGUUCUCAUUGGUACUCAACCUGACCCCGGCCACCACCAUCACCAUCAUCAAGAAUAUUUGACAAUAUAUGAAAUCUUAAUUAAAAGCAAUUCAUUUGAUUUUCA